ensembl:piRNA 21ur-10828 ncRNA
CUAGUGAUUGAGUAGUAAUGC